ACUUGUUGCUUAAUAGGCAAUUACAAUUUUUAAGUGAAAAAGUUGCCUCGUAAAUUGACGAUGACUCGGUUCGGUUGCACCAUAACACAGCACGUCAACAUUACACAUUACUAGCAAAAUACAACAAUGUGCACACUUUUUUCAAGCAAGCGGCCACAGCUGAGUACAAUUCACUGUUCAACUUUAUAAAAGAAAUCAAUGUAAAACUUUAAAGACAAGCAAACACUACGAAAUAACCCUCGUGGCAAUUUCCACUUUACCAAUAAGUGGGCGGCCAAAUAAUUCCACAAUACCCAAGGGUAUCAUGGUAACUUAAAACCAAAAAAAAAAAAAAAAUAUCUGCGCAAUUAUUGUGCGCCUAAUAUUUGACGCGUUUAGUUUUCUAAACGAUACUGCAUGCGUGAUAGCCGGCAACGGCGGGCUGACGACAAAUCUGUAUCAAAUAUGCAGAUGGCUUCGGGUGCGUCUAUCCAGUGGUGAUGGCCAAGUAGGCCUUAGAAGGCCACGCGUGACGUUUGGGGGCGGAAAGAGAGGAGGAAAACUUUUCAGCCUUUGCUUUCCGCAUCGGACGUGCAGUCAAUAUGGUGGUAAUGAAGGGACCCGUGAUGCGUGUAUGCAGCAGAGCACACUUCUGAACUGGAACUCAGCACAUGGACCGACUACAAAAUGGCGGUAUGUAUGUAUGUAUGUAGAUGCAAAGGAAGAAUCUUAACUUAGCUGCUUUUUUUCCUGGGUGUCCCACGGCGCCGAGAACGUGCUGAGGCGAGCGGAGACUUGCACGCAAAAUGAUGGAGACGAGGAGGCGAACAAAGAGAUCCGGCUCGAAGGACCAAAAGUUGUAGUGUGGCGCCGAAGUGGUAUCGAAGCUGCUGAAAACUCCUCAGGUCACUUUGAUGUUUCUCGCAAGUGUCAAGGCGAAAUACAAAAAAGGUUCAGGCUGCCGAAGCAGCGGCUGUCACCUCACAGCUGACGAGGCAGCGCUCUCGCGCGUCGCCGACGUCGACGCAGGCAGCGAUAACAGCAUCAGGCAAACAGUGGCCGCACCAGCUGAUAGCAGCAGCGAGUUGACAGUGGCCGCUGCCACCUCAACACAAACAAACAAUCAAAUCUUGCAUCUUUAUAUACUGUAUAUACAUAUACUCAUAGUUUUGUUGUUUAUUUAUUUACGAGAUUUCUAAUAUAUAUAUGGAGGUACAUUGCCAUAAUUGUCACACAUAAA